rnacentral:ncRNA from 1 species
GGUCACUCCUCCACUCAUGAAAACGGGGUACUUCCCCGGCCUGUUACCUCAGAGGAAAGUCCAUCAUGGCACUGAGCGUCCAAGAGAAAGCCCAGAUCGUUAACGAGUAUCAGCAAGCUGCU